rnacentral:misc_RNA from 1 species
AACUUUUAACAACGGAUCUCUUGGCUCUCGCAUAGAUGAAGAACGCAGCGAAAUGCGAUAAGUAGUGUGAAUUGCAGAAUUCAGUGAAUCAUCGAAUCUUUGAACGCACCUUGCGCCCUUUGGCUAUUCCGAAGGGCAUGCCUGUUUGAGUAUCAUGAACACCUCAACUCUCAUGGUUUUUCCAUGAUGAGCUUGGACUUUGGGGGUCUUGCUGGCCUAUGGUCAGCUCCUCUUAAAUGAAUCAGCUUGCCAGUGUUUGGUGGCAUCGCAGGUGUGAUAACUAUCUACGCUUGUGGUUUAUCCAUCAAGUAACCUUCAGCGAUGGAGGUUCACUGGGGCUCAUAAAGGCCUCUCCUCAGUGAGGAUGGCUCCUUUUGAAUGUUUGAUCUCAAAUCAGGUAGGACUACCCGCUGAACUUAAGCAUAUCAAUAAGCGGAGGCU